CAUGUGGUUUAAUUCGAAGCAACGCGAAGAACCUUACCAGGCCUUGACAUGCAGAGAACUUUCCAGAGAUGGAUUGGUGCCUUCGGGAACUCUGACACAGGUGCUGCAUGGCUGUCGUCAGCUCGUGUCGUGAGAUGUUGGGUUAAGUCCCGUAGCGAGCGCAACCCUUGUCCUUAGUUACCAGCACGUUAUGGUGGGCACUCUAAGGAGACUGCCGGUGACAAACCGGAGGAAGGUGGGGAUGACGUCAAGUCCUCAUGGCCUUUAUGACCAGGGCUACACACGUACUACAAUGGCCGAUACAAAGGGCAGCGACACUGCGAGGUGAAGCCAAUCCCGUAAAAUCGGUCUCAGUCCGGAUUGGAGUCUGCAACUCGACUCCAUGAAGUUGGAAUCGCUAGUAAUCGUGGAUCAGCAUGCCACGGUGAAUACGUUCCCGGGCCUU
rnacentral:rRNA from 1 species